rnacentral:sRNA from 1 species
AAAUGCAGAAGCUGCUGCGCGGGAGUCGGCCAUGGACUGGAAAGAAGUUCUUCGUCGGCGCUUAGCGACGCCCAACACCUGUCCAAACAAAAAAAAAAGUGAACAAGAAUUAAAAGAUGAAGAAAUGGAUUUAUUUACAAAAUAUUACUCCGAAUGGAAAGGAGGUAGAAAAAACACAAAUGAAUUCUAUAAGACCAUUCCCCGGUUUUAUUAUAGGCUGCCUGCUGAAGAUGAAGUCUUACUACAGAAAUUAAGAGAGGAAUCAAGAGCUGUCUUUCUACAAAGAAAAAGCAGAGAACUGUUAGAUAAUGAAGAAUUACAGGAUUUAGAAAACUACAUAUUGGAACUUAUCCCUACGUUGCCACAAUUAGAUGGUCUGGAAAAAUCUUUCUACUCCUUUUAUGUUUGUACAGCAGUUAGGAAGUUCUUCUUCUUUUUAGAUCCUUUAAGAACAGGUAAAAGAAAAUCUUAUCUAACUUAGAUAUUAUGAGGAUAUUAUUAUAUCUAAAUCUCAAUAACUAGAGAAAACUCUUGAAAAAUAUCAUUUAUUUUCCUGUCACUGCCAUUAAAAAUUUGGUGAAUUUCAAGGAGAUAAAAAGGUAGAAAAAACAGUAGCAGUACUUUGGUUAUGUUUAUCUGAAGAUCUUUUAUGAUUUAAUUGCACUGACCAUAACCUGCUGUGUGACAGAUGGAGGGACAUCACCUAACAGUGAAGAAGUAUGAAGUGGGUAGUCAGUCAUAAAUACCUCCUUCCAGUUCUAGGAAGCCAGUUAUUUGCAUAUAAUUUGCUGUCUCUGCUGUGUGACAUACUGCAGAAUUAUUCUCUUUUUGAUGAAAAAUAUGUAUUUGGAAAUAUGAGAGCCAUUUAGCCAGUGAUGCAUAUUUUUCUUAUUCUCUAUAAGGAUCGGAUUGGUAAAUAUGGCCUCAUUAACAGUUUGUUUUAUUAACUGUUCAAACCUGCCCAGACUUAACUACAUGUAACUGGAGC